rnacentral:rRNA from 1 species
GUAGGUGGCAAGCGUUGUCCGGAAUUAUUGGGCGUAAAGCGCGCGCAGGCGGUUCUUUAAGUCUGAUGUGAAAGCCCACGGCUCAACCGUGGAGGGUCAUUGGAAACUGGAGAACUUGAGUACAGAAGAGGAAAGCGGAAUUCCACGUGUAGCGGUGAAAUGCGUAGAGAUGUGGAGGAACACCAGUGGCGAAGGCGGCUUUCUGGUCUGUAACUGACGCUGAGGCGCGAAAGCGUGGGGAGCAAACAGGGAUUAGAUACCCUGGUAGUCCACGCCGUAAACGAUGAGUGCUAAGUGUUAGGGGGUUUCCGCCCCCUUAGUGCCUGCAGCUAACGCAUUAAGCACUCCGCCUGGGGAGUACGGCCGCAAGGCUG